GGACGGGUGGCAGAGUGGUUGAUCGCUCCGGUCUUGAAAACCGGCGUGGGGGCAACUCCACCGUGGGUUCGAAUCCCACCCCGUCCGCCA
rnacentral:tRNA from 1 species